GGCCUAACACAUGCAAGUCGAGCGCGCCUUCGGGCGAGCGGCGGACGGGUUAGUAACGCGUGGGAACGUGCCCAGAUCUACGGAAUAGCCACUGGAAACGGUGAGUAAUACCGUAUACGCCCUUCGGGGGAAAGAUUUAUCGGAUUUGGAUCGGCCCGCGUUAGAUUAGGUAGUUGGUGGGGUAAUGGCCUACCAAGCCUACGAUCUAUAGCUGGUUUUAGAGGAUGAUCAGCAACACUGGGACUGAGACACGGCCCAGACUCCUACGGGAGGCAGCAGUGGGGAAUCUUGGACAAUGGGGGCAACCCUGAUCCAGCCAUGCCGCGUGAGUGAAGAAGGCCCUAGGGUCGUAAAACUCUUUCGCCUGUGAUGAUAAUGACAGUAGCAGGUAAAGAAACCCCGGCUAACUCCGUGCCAGCAGCCGCGGUAAUACGGAGGGGGUUAGCGUUGUUCGGAAUUACUGGGCGUAAAGCGCACGUAGGCGGAUUAGAAAGUUAGAGGUGAAAUCCCGGGGCUCAACCCCGGAACUGCCUUUAAAACUACUAGUCUAGAGUUCGAGAGAGGUGAGUGGAAUUCCGAGUGUAGAGGUGAAAUUCGUAGAUAUUCGGAGGAACACCAGUGGCGAAGGCGGCUCACUGGCUCGAUACUGACGCUGAGGUGCGAAAGUGUGGGGAGCAAACAGGAUUAGAUACCCUGGUAGUCCACACCGUAAACGAUGAAUGCCAGUCGUCGGAUAGUUUACUAUUCGGUGACACACCUAACGGAUUAAGCAUUCCGCCUG
rnacentral:rRNA from 1 species